rnacentral:rRNA from 1 species
GAUGAACGCUGGCGGUAUGCUUAACACAUGCAAGUCGAACGGUACCUUCGGGUAUAGUGGCGGACGGGUGAGUAACGCGUGAGAAUCUAUCUUCAGGUCGGGGACAACAGUUAGAAAUGACUGCUAAUACCGGAUGUGCCGAAAGGUAAAAGAUUUAUUGCCUGAAAAAGAGCUCGCGUCAGAUUAGCUAGUAGGUGGUGCAAGAGACUACCUAGGCUUCGAUCUGUAGCUGGUCUGAGAGGACGAUCAGCCACACUGGAACUGAGACACGGUCCAGACUCCUAUGGGAGGCAGCAGUGGGGAAUUUUCCGCAAUGGGCGAAAGCCUGACGGAGCAAUACCGCGUGAGGGACGAAGGCUCUUGGGUCGUAAACCUCUUUUCUCAAGGAAGAUUCAGACGGUACUUGAGGAAUAAGCAUCGGCUAACUCUGUG